ACGGCCAGUUUCCAGCUCCAAUAGCGUAUAUUAAAGUUGUGCAGUUAAAAAGCUCGUAGUUGGAUUUGUGGUGAAUUGUCGGUUCCUCUUUUGGUUACUGUAGAAUUCGCCAUCCUUGGGUGGAACCUGUGUGGCAUUAGGUUGUCGUGCAGGGGAUGCCCAUCAUUUACUGUGAAAAAAUCAGCGCGUUCAAAGCAGGCUUAUGCCGUUGAAUGUAUUAGCAUGGAAUAAUAAGAUAGGACCUUGGUACUAUUUUGUUGGUUUGUGCACCGAGGUAAUGAUUAAUAGGGACAGUUGGGGGUAUUCGUAUUCCAUUGUCAGAGGUGAAAUUCUUGGAUUUCUGGAAGACGAACUACUGCGAAAGCAUUUACCA
rnacentral:rRNA from 1 species